rnacentral:rRNA from 1 species
AUAACACCUAGGAAACAGAUGCUAAUACCGGAUAACAACAGAUGAUGCCUAUCAACUGUUUAAAAGAUGGUUCUGCUAUCACUCUUGGAUGGACCUGCGGUGCAUUAGCUAGUUGGUAGGGUAACGGCCUACCAAGGCGAUGAUGCAUAGCCGAGUUGAGAGACUGAUCGGCCACAUUGGGACUGAGACACUGCCCAAACUCCUACGGGAGGCAGCAGAA